rnacentral:SRP_RNA from 1 species
GCCGGACUUUACGGUCUGUAAUCCUUCGGGAGGCCUUAAAGACGGAAUUCCCGCGCAGAUGGUGCAGGGCCAUUUAGCUACUUGUAGACAGAUCGCCCUUGGUGAGUUUACUGCUCGGCUUCGCGCCUCUCUGACGAGGAGCGCUGCUGCCGAAUAAUUGUCGGAGGACCGGGUCAGGCAGGACACUGAGCAGCCCACUUCGAAGCAGCGAACGGCAUCUGGAAAACGGACUGGAGAGUGCGGUGGAACCACCCUCAUCAACUGCACUGGGGGAACCAGACUUUUU